UGGGGGCGCAAGCCCCCAAUGUAAUUACGAUAAAUUCAGCUUACUACCCUUUGAACGCGUUUAGGCUAUCUAGCUGCGCUGAGCAAAAAUAGUUCCAAUAUUUUGCCAUAAUAUUCAGAUCAUCAUUAUACCGUAUCUAUUUUGAAAUUGACUGGUCAUUUUAUUACUAAAUUUUAAAUCCUUUUAUCACAAAAUUACAUAUACCAUUGCUUUACGCGAUUUGAAUAUUACUACGCUAGCAGUCGAUAAAAAUUUAAUGAGAACCAGUUAAUUUGUUCUACCUUCUGGUUCCCGAUGCACGAGAGCCAAAGUACUUGCAUACAUUUGGUGCCAAUUUUAUCAAGUCAUGAAUUAACUAACUAUCAUAGAACACAAUAAUUCAGGAAAAAUGAAAUACGAUUUUCAUAUUAGAUAACUUUCAAGCUUAAAAUGGUUAAAAAGUGUGAAUGACAGAGUAAAAAUUUGUAUGCGUAUGAAUACGAACUAUAUUCCCUCUGACGUCAUUUUCCCGAAAUCGCCAUCUUGGUCAGUUAUUCCGAGAAAAGGCUGAGAAGAUUUGCUAUCAAUUACGAAGUCCCAGCUAUUACGUUGAUAUUUUGGUUGCAAUCUAUUCCAUCUUGGUGUAUUGUCUUCAUACUUGGCCACAACAACCCUUCAAAUAGACCAGACUAACUUGACCUCCAUAUAAACAUUCAAGAUGUUCGGCCUACAUGUCAGAUUUGUGAAUGUGAACGGCAGGAUAUCGAGUUUAAGGAUGCUUUAGGGUCAAUGAGAAUGAAAUCAAGAGAGAUAAAGGCUAAAAUGUGAGACUGUCAAUCUGACAAACCUUGCAGUGAAUAAAUGGUAAAAUGUUUCUUUCAGUAGCAUGGCAUUUAAGGAAGCGGUAC